GGAAAGCACGUGCUUCCCCUGCAGUCUGCCAGCGUAAGACCUUGUAUUUUGGACACUCUUCUCUCUCUCAUUUUGUUUGAUUUUGUUGGAUCGUUGCCGCUGUUUGUUUUUUUUUUUUUUCUUUUCUUUUAGACCCAUCUGCUAUCUCCCUGCCCUUCCCCUUCUCCCGGAGCACGGCCCACAAGUGCCUUGCCUCGUUAGUCACGGGCCGGGGCCAGCCGCACCGCAAAAGAUGACCUUUUUGCAGGUAAAUGCACUGGAGAGGAACAAUGAGGUCAAAUAAGUGCUAGAAGCAAAAGUGUCUCAGUUGUGAUUCUGCCACUGCUUGGAUUUUCCCCGUGAAACUCAAGCCUUGGAAUUUUGGAGGGAAAGAAUGUUGCUGACGCUGAGGUAAAAGGAUCCAGCAAGGCCAUGGUCCUGCCACCAUCUACCCAGAGAACUGUCCAAGUAGAAACGGAGUACCACAUCUUAACAGGAAAGAAAAAAAAUCGGACCUGGACUGUAGAUGAAAUGCAAAGCUAUAGAGAUACAAGAGUGAAGUCUAAAGGGAGGUAUCGUUGCUUCCUCUAGCUACUGUAAAUGAAUGAGCAAUAUGGAAAUGAAUGGAAAAGCAUUACAUGAGCACAGGUAGACUAUAAGCUUUCCACUCCAUGUCUAGAAGAAAAACAUGAGUGAGGAUAUAGAAAAAAAUAUUCAAUGUGAAUAUCACUGGAAAUACAUCAGUUCUUUUAUUUUUAUGUGUGGUUACACAAGACUCUGCUUGAUUGACUGUGAUUAAACAUGAAGAAAAUCAAGCAAAACAAUGGAGCAAAGAACAACGCAGGUGCUCUUUUCCUGGGGUUUUUGAAGUAGUGCACUAUGUGCAAAGCCAGUGAGCCGCACUUUGUGUUGGCUGGCUGGGGAAACAGUUUCAAAGAAUUCUGUUAUCAAAACUAGUGAGCAAGCUUAGGAGAAGCAAAAACGUAACAAAGCAACAGCAACAAAAAGUUAUAUUUGCAAGAGGCGGCUUGGUAUUGAUGGAUCUGUCCUACAUUGGAUUGAAUCUUCACUGAAGACCCUAGGAACCUUUGGGGAGAAGAAGAAUAUAUCCCCAGAUUCAAGACAUUCACGAUUCUAAAUGUGAUGUUUUCUGAGGCAGUUUGAAAGAGUCAAGGUUUGGAAGCUGAUAAAAUGAGGAGAGGCAGCGAAAUGGACAACAUAGCUUGAAUCAGUUACAGCACUGACUUGAAAUUAUUUAGAACACCAGCCCCAUCCCACUCAAUCCCCAUCCUGUUUUUGUCUUAUAUGUCUGUGAUGUUCCAUGAGAAAGACAGAGAGCCUACCAGUGCUGCUGAACCCAGACUCUCUUGCAUCCCAUGUCACUUACACCAGAGGAACUCCGAGAACAGGCUGAAACCAUGCAGUGGCUGUUUGCACAGAAUUUACCACUGCAAACUUUUCUGACUCUGGACAACUGCACCGCCACGGUUGUGCCAGAGCAGGCCAAAGAACAAGAGGUUAUGGACAAUUUUUUAAUAGUCCACAAACCCCCAGGGAAGCGGGACAUCUGUUGGAGUACUCUUUCAGUAGACAUCUCAAGUGGCCAGCUAACCUGCUGGGGAAUGGAUCAUCCUGCAGAGGGUGAAUCAUGAGCUCACAGAUGAAAGUCACCCAAGAUGACAUCCCAGAUACUAUUGGCAAACAUCAUACAUGCCGAAAUCAAAGAUGAAGCUGUCAAACAGUAAGAGUGGAUGCUGCAGGGAUAGACAGCAACAUCAUGUUAAAGAAAACGCUCUCAGAAGCCUUCAGGGGAAGUCACUGCACAAAGUGGAAAGUGUGUUUAAAAAAGAGAGAGAAAAAUUAAAGUAUAUAAGCCAACUCAAGGUAUCUUGAGGUACCAGUAGUGUGUUGUAGAACGUUCGACUCCUGGGAUGCAUAUGUGGAAUGGAAGAUUUGGACUUUAUCUGGAUGUUCUACUGGCUAUUCAGAAGAUGGCCCUGAGAGAGGAGUUGACUCUACUUCUCUUCUGAAGUUGGGUUAUUGCAAAAAGUAUCAUUUCAGGCAAGCUCUGUAAGCCCAUGUCUGAGUCACUGAGAUGUGCUUUGCAAUGGAGGAUUAAGGUUAUAAAUCUCUUCCAUGAAGAUCUUUUGUGCCAUACAGGAACUUACGGGGCAUAAUUUCUGUUGAGGAACUGGAUUGUGACUGACAGGCACCAAAAAAGCUGAAGAGUUUGCACAUGGAAGCAUGACUGUGCUUGCAGUCCCACAGUAGAAAAGGCAACCAGGAGGGGGGAAUAAUCAGUAACAAGGAAAGAACUGCCUGGGAUGUCCGGGCUGGCCACCAGUGGAAAAAAAAGAAAGAAUCAGAUGAGAACUGAGUGAAGUAUAAGAAACCAAGCACAGAUAUUGCCUGGAUAUUUUUGUGCCUGAAGUUGUUCCUUGCCACCUGUUACCUGAUUCUUCAAUUGCACCAACUUUCUCUUCCAUGACAGUGGUUGGCAUCCUGCUAAGGACAAGUAAGCACUCUUGGUUUUCAAGAUGGUAUAGGUUUUCACUUAGUUCAGUCCCUAGAACAGGUAGGACAAAAAUGUUUUUGCAUCCCAUUCUUUCUUCAUUCCAGAACCAGGAAUUAUUGAACCAC
ensembl:lncRNA